CGAGUUCUGAUUAUUGAAAGGUGCUUGCAUCUUGAUUUAAUUUUGAACGAGUGGCGGACGGGUGAGUAACACGUGGGUAACCUGCCCUUAAGUGGGGGAUAACAUUUGGAAACAGAUGCUAAUACCGCAUAAAUCCAAGAACCGCAUGGUUCUUGGCUGAAAGAUGGCGUAAGCUAUCGCUUUUGGAUGGACCCGCGGCGUAUUAGCUAGUUGGUGAGGUAACGGCUCACCAAGGCAAUGAUACGUAGCCGAACUGAGAGGUUGAUCGGCCACAUUGGGACUGAGACACGGCCCAAACUCCUACGGGAGGCAGCAGUAGGGAAUCUUCCACAAUGGACGCAAGUCUGAUGGAGCAACGCCGCGUGAGUGAAGAAGGCUUUCGGGUCGUAAAACUCUGUUGUUGGAGAAGAAUGGUCGGCAGAGUAACUGUUGUCGGCGUGACGGUAUCCAACCAGAAAGCCACGGCUAACUACGUGCCAGCAGCCGCGGUAAUACGUAGGUGGCAAGCGUUAUCCGGAUUUAUUGGGCGUAAAGCGAGCGCAGGCGGUUUUUUAAGUCUGAUGUGAAAGCCCUCGGCUUAACCGAGGAAGUGCAUCGGAAACUGGGAAACUUGAGUGCAGAAGAGGACAGUGGAACUCCAUGUGUAGCGGUGAAAUGCGUAGAUAUAUGGAAGAACACCAGUGGCGAAGGCGGCUGUCUGGUCUGUAACUGACGCUGAGGCUCGAAAGCAUGGGUAGCGAACAGGAUUAGAUACCCUGGUAGUCCAUGCCGUAAACGAUGAAUGCUAGGUGUUGGAGGGUUUCCGCCCUUCAGUGCCGCAGCUAACGCAUUAAGCAUUCCGCCUGGGGAGUACGACCGCAAGGUUGAAACUCAAAGGAAUUGACGGGGGCCCGCACAAGCGGUGGAGCAUGUGGUUUAAUUCGAAGCAACGCGAAGAACCUUACCAGGUCUUGACAUCUUUUGAUCACCUGAGAGAUCAGGUUUCCCCUUCGGGGGCAAAAUGACAGGUGGUGCAUGGUUGUCGUCAGCUCGUGUCGUGAGAUGUUGGGUUAAGUCCCGCAACGAGCGCAACCCUUAUGACUAGUUGCCAGCAUUUAGUUGGGCACUCUAGUAAGACUGCCGGUGACAAACCGGAGGAAGGUGGGGAUGACGUCAAAUCAUCAUGCCCCUYAUGACCUGGGCUACACACGUGCUACAAUGGAUGGUACAACGAGUUGCGAGACCGCGAGGUCAAGCUAAUCUCUUAAAGCCAUUCUCAGUUCGGACUGUAGGCUGCAACUCGCCUACACGAAGUCGGAAUCGCUAGUAAUCGCGGAUCAGCACGCCGCGGUGAAUACGUUCCCGGGCCUUGUACACACCGCCCGUCACACCAUGAGAGUUUGUAACACCCGAAGCCGGUGGCGUAACCCU
rnacentral:rRNA from 1 species